GAAGGCAGCNUCCUGGGAUAACACUGACGUUCAUGCCCGAAAGCGUGGGUAGCAAACAGGAUUAGACACCCUGGUAGUCCACGCCCUAAACGAUGUCGAUUAGCUGUUGGGCAGCAUGACUGCUUAGUAGCGAAGCUAACGCGUGAAAUCGACCGCCUGGGGAGUACGGUCGCAAGAUUAAAACUCAAAGGAAUUGACGGGGACCCGCACAAGCGGUGGACGAUGUGGAUUAAUUCGAUGCAACGCGAAGAACCUUACCUGGUCUUGACAUGUACGGAACCCUCCAGAGACGGAGGAGUGCCUUCGGGAGCCGUAACACAGGUGCUGCAUGGCUGUCGUCAGCUCGUGUCGUGAGAUGUUGGGUUAAGUCCCGCAACGAGCGCAACCCUUGUCAUUAGUUGCCAUCAUUAAGUUGGGCACUCUAAUGAGACUGCCGGUGACAAGCCGGAGGAAGGUGGGGAUGACGUCAAGUCCUCAUGGCCCUUAUGACCAGGGCUUCACACGUCAUACAAUGGUCGGUACAGAGGGUAGCCAAGCCGCGAGGUGGAGCCAAUCCCAGAAAACCGAUCGUAGUCCGGAUUGCACUCUGCAACUCGAGUGCAUGAAGUCGGAAUCGCUAGUAAUCGCAGGUCAGCAUACUGCGGUGAAUACGUUCCCGGGUCUUGUACACACCG
rnacentral:rRNA from 1 species